AACGAACGCUGGCGGCAGGCUUAACACAUGCAAGUCGAGCGCCCCGCAAGGGGAGCGGCAGACGGGUGAGUAACGCGUGGGAACGUACCUUUUGGUUCGGAACAACUCCGGGAAACUGGAGCUAAUACCGGAUAAGCCCUAACGGGGAAAGAUUUAUCGCCGAAAGAUCGGCCCGCGUCUGAUUAGCUAGUUGGUUAGGUAACGGCUCACCGAGGCGACGAUCAGUAGCUGGUCUGAGAGGAUGAUCAGCCACACUGGGACUGAGACACGGCCCAGACUCCUACGGGAGGCAGCAGUGGGGAAUAUUGGACAAUGGGCGCAAGCCUGAUCCAGCCAUGCCGCGUGAGUGAUGAAGGCCUUAGGGUUGUAAAGCUCUUUUGUCCGGGAAGAUAAUGACUGUACCGGAAGAAUAAGCCCCGGCUAACUUCGUG
rnacentral:rRNA from 1 species